AGAUCUCAUCUGAGAGUCUCCCAUUGUCAGAUUUUGACCUAGGACCAUCUCAGAAAGGGAUUCUUCUGAUUCAGAGGAGAAGUCCCCAGGUAUGAAGAGUCACAGCUUCCUUCUGCUCCCCGGUGUGCAAGACUCUCAUCCCUGGGAAACAUUUAUGGAACAGUCUGAAAACUGCUAGAGUGCAGAACUAUCCCAUGGCAAUGGUAUUCCCUGGAUCUGCCACUGAAACAUUCGUUGUCCUCUAGAUUUUCCAGGGAAGUUUUUGCAGUAAAGAAGGAAUGAAGGAAGAGGCAUGGAUGAAGAAUAAGAGAGAAUUGAAUUAUUUUGAAGGACACUCGUGACCAAAAAAAGGCAAGUUCAGACAGGCCUGCUCAUAUCAUUUAGACCAAGUACUAUCAUAUUGUCAUCACUUAAUAAAAGUUGGAUGAAUGAAUGGAUGGAUGGGAUACAUUUACCUGAUUAGAAAUAUAUCUAAAGCCAAGAAAGAGAAAAAGAAUAAUCAAUAAUACCACAAAAUUUUCUCAGUAUUAUUAAGAAUAUGAUUUAUUUUACUUUUUAACUUUCUGUAGUGACUUUUAACAUCUAUCAAGUCUACUAACAGAUUUUACAUUUUAAAUAGUCUCAAACAUUUUUAGAAGACAAGAACACAACUGUAAACUGCAUCUGAUUACAGGAACUCAUAUAUCCAGGGGAAUUACAGUAUUAUUUCCCACCCUAAAUUAUUUAUAAUUGCUGCCACUUAUUGAGCAUUUACUAUAUGCCAAGCCAUCUGCAAACCAUAUUAAGUUUAAUUCAUUUUAUUUAAUCAACUCUCCUGAAGACUUGAAUUGAAUUUUAAUGGCAAUAUCUAAGACAUGACAUUUUAAAGCUGUCAUAUGACCCUAUGAAUUACGUAGCAUACUUGUUUUCAACAUUUCCUCAAAAUAUACGUAAAUGUGCAAAUAUAUUAAUAAGAAUAAUCACUAGCCCAACUUAAGAAGCUACGAGUGAUUAAACAGUCCUGAUUUUAAAAAAAUAAAUAAAACAAAACAACAAACAAACAAAAAAACAAAGUUUUCUUUAAAACCAAAUUCGUGUUAAGUCAGUGGUGUCGGUAGUUAAAAUGAAAUUUUUAGUAGAAUAGUAUAGUUACAGUUAUGGAACUUCUUAAAAGGAAUCAAAAUUUCAUAUAACUGGCUCGGAAAUAACCUGUAAAUGAAAGGAGAAAGGAAGUAUACAGAAAACAAGAAUGUAUAACAGUGUUUAUUGUUCUUAUUUUUCCCUUAAUAUUUGUAUUCUACAAUGAUAUACAUGUAAAACAGUUGAAAAGGUGACCAAAAUUGUAAGAAAAGAAAUCUAAAAGAAUAUGUACUUUCUAUGAUGAUUGUAAAAGUAUUUUGGUUGUAGAAGUAAAAUGUAAUGUGAAAUUUAUUGAUGGAGACAGUUUGAAAAUGUUCAUGAGUGUGACUCUAAGGUGUUGAAAGGAAGAUAAAUGACAAAAAUUUCUA